rfam:Gossypium raimondii chromosome 6, whole genome shotgun sequence.
GGGUGCGAUCAAACCAGCAGUAAUGCACCGGAUCCCAUUAGAACUUCGUAGCUAAGCGUGCUUGGGCGAGAGUAGUACUAGGAUGGGUGACCUCCUGGGAAGUCCUCGUGUUGUACCCC